rnacentral:rRNA from 1 species
UACAGAGGGGGCAAGCGUUGUUCGGAAUUACUGGGCGUAAAGGGCGCGUAGGCGGCCGCCUAAGUCAGACGUGAAAUCCCUCGGCUCAACCGGGGAACUGCGUCUGAUACUGGGUGGCUUGAAUCCGGGAGAGGGAUGCGGAAUUCCAGGUGUAGCGGUGAAAUGCGUAGAUAUCAGGAGGAACACCGGUGGCGAAGGCGGGUCUCUGGGCCGAUACUGACGCUGAGGAGCGAAAGCGUGGGGAGCAAACAGG